GGCUCCUGCGGGCUGGUGACGCCGCUGCGGUUUUUGCGUGACAGCAUGAGCGGCUGUAAACUACCGCUGACGGCCGCCCAUCUGCAGGACUGUCGCCAGAUCAGACAAGCCGUGUCGGACGUGUGGCAGCCGCUGGAUGCCGCUGGCUUUGUGCGGAGUGACGGCGCCACGAACGACUCCUCCGGUCACUGGGUCAGCGUACACAGGGAGUCGCCGGAGCGGCUGGUUUCCCCAGAGCGGCCGGCACCGGACAGCGGGCUGGGCCAGCUGCCGGC